UAACGCUCUGUUGUGUAUAGGAUAAUUUAUUUACAAUGUAUCCGAGAACUUUUAUACAUAAAUGAAAUGUGAUUGUUAGAUCAACAACACCUGGGACACGAACAGUAUUUAUACAAUGUAGGCUAUGUGUAUCAAAAUACAAAAACUAUUUACAAACAUAUUUUUAUUAUUGGUUAUGUAAUUGCUUAGCUAUAUCUCAUAGUUUACAUUUGUACUUCAAUGCUUAAUGCGGAUUGUAAUUUAUUGCAGAUGCCUUGCUGUAUUGAGAGAGGAACAGAUAAAUGCUAUGCAAUCAAUCAUUGAGUUUCCAGAUGAUGGUAUUUAACUUGUACCGAAACUUUGGUUUUGUGAUGAUUCCUGUAGCCUAACUAUGUGAAUCAACUAAACAUGAACAAUAGCUGCUUACAGGACAUAGAAAGGAGAGGACCAGUAGCAGCAUCUCCAAAGAAAG